UGGCGGCAGGCCUAACACAUGCAAGUCGAGCGGAAACGAGUUAUCUGAACCUUCGGGGAACGAUAACGGCGUCGAGCGGCGGACGGGUGAGUAAUGCCUGGGAAAUUGCCCUGAUGUGGGGGAUAACCAUUGGAAACGAUGGCUAAUACCGCAUAAUAGCUUCGGCUCAAAGAGGGGGACCUUCGGGCCUCUCGCGUCAGGAUAUGCCCAGGUGGGAUUAGCUAGUUGGUGAGGUAAAGGCUCACCAAGGCAACGAUCCCUAGCUGGUCUGAGAGGAUGAUCAGCCACACUGGAACUGAGACACGGUCCAGACUCCUACGGGAGGCAGCAGUGGGGAAUAUUGCACAAUGGGCGCAAGCCUGAUGCAGCCAUGCCGCGUGUAUGAAGAAGGCCUUCGGGUUGUAAAGUACUUUCAGCAGUGAGGAAGGCGGAUGCGUUAAUAGCGUAUUCGUUUGACGUUAGCUGCAGAAGAAGCACCGGCU
rnacentral:rRNA from 1 species